CUAACUAUAAACGAUGCCGACUAGGGAUCGGUGGGCGUUAAUAUAAAAUUGUCUUGGGUUAUUUUUUUACUUUUAUUUUUUUAAAAUAAAAGUUCUAAAAUGUCUUUGACAAGAAAUGACCCCAUCGGCACCUCAAUUUGAUACUUCUCAAUGGGAAACCAAAGUUUUUGGGUUCCGGGGGGAGUAUGGUCGCAAGGCUGAAACUUAAAGGAAUUGACGGAAGGGCACCACCAGGAGUGGAGUUUGCGGCUUAAUUUGACUCAACACGGGAAAACUCACCAGGCCCAGACAUGGUAAGGAUUGACAGAUUGAGAGCUCUUUCUUGAUUCCAUGAAAGGUGGCGCAUGGCCGUUCUUAGUUGGUGGAGUGAUUUGUCUGGUUAAUUCCGUUAACGAACGAGACCUUGGCCUGCUAACUAGGGGGGGUUAUCGUUUGGAUAAGUUAGCAGAGUUGGUUUUGCUUUUUUAUCUUCGGAUAGAAGGGUUAAAAUCAACUGUUGUUACUUGUUCAUAUUUUGCGAUAGCACCUAAGAUUUAAAAAAUCUUUCAACCCUUUUUUGGUCUUAAGGGAAGAGGGAAGUUUUCUUUUGGGAUUUAUUUUCCAAUUGGAGGCUUCUCAUCAAAAUCUUUCUUUUUGAUUGAAGAAGGAAAAAUCCUUCUUAGAGGGACUAUCUGCGUUUUUACAACUAGCAGAUGGAAGCUCGAGGCAAUAACAGGUCUGUGAUGCCCUUAGAUGUCCUGGGCUGCACGCGUACUACACUGACGAAUUCAACAAGUGAUUUAAAUUUGAUUGAGCUACUUACUUUGUUUUCCUUCGGGAGGAUGAGGAGAGAGGGCUUUUUCAAAAACCUUGGCAGAAAUGUCUGGGUAAUCUCCUUAAAGUUCGUCGUGCUAGGGAUAGAUGAUUGUAAUUAUU
rnacentral:rRNA from 1 species